AAAGUGAGGCGUCCUCUGUCACGAUUCA
rnacentral:piRNA from 1 species